rnacentral:rRNA from 1 species
ACGCGACCCCAGGUCAAGCGGGGCUACCCGCUGAGUUUA